rnacentral:rRNA from 1 species
CCAAUAGCGUAUAUUAAAGUUGUUGCAGUUAAAAAGCUCGUAGUUGAAUUUCGGGGUUAGUAAGUUGGUCAUGCCUCUGGUAUGCACUGGCUUUACUGAUUCCUCCUUCUUGAUGAACUGUAAUGUCAUUAAUUUGGUGUUGCAGGGAAUCAGGACUGUUACUUUGAAAAAAUUAGAGUGUUUAAAGCAAGCUAACGCUUGAAUACAUUAGCAUGGAAUAAUGAAAUAGGACGUUCGAUCCUAUUUUGUUGGUUUCUAGGAUUGACGUAAUGAUUAAUAGGGAUAGUUGGGGGCAUUAGUAUUCAAUUGUCAGAGGUGAAAUUCUUGGAUUUAUUGAAGACUAACUACUGCGAAAGCAUUUGCCAAGGAUGUUUUCAUUAAUCAAGAACGAAAGUUAGGGGAUCGAAGACGAUCAGAUACCGUCGUAGUCUUAACCAUAAACUAUGCCGACUAGGGAUCGGAUGAUGUUAAUUUUUUAAUGACUCAUUCGGCGCCUUACG